GGAAGUCCGGUGUGAAUCCGGCACGGUCGCGCCACUGUAUGCCGGACCAGGCCACCUCACGCAACGGCGGGGCCCGGCAAGUCAGAC
rnacentral:ncRNA from 2 species